rnacentral:lncRNA from 1 species
UUAUUACCAUUAUUGUGCCUUGUUUGGUUAUUACCCUCAUAUCCCAUGUUUUUGUUACAAAAUAUGUACCAAACGAAAUCUUUGCUGAUGUUGCAUCCUGAAAUAAUGCCAUUUAUUAAGGCUCAAAUCUAUGUUAAAUAAAUUGUAGCCUAAAAUAACACCUGUCUUUAUGGCUCCUAAUUAAUCUUUGAUUUUGUACCAAAUAAAUACUAAUUCAGUUAAGGUAAAAUCUUAAAUGCUCCUAGAGAUUAAAUGCUUCUCUU